AAGCAGACCACAAGAUAAGAUUUCCCAUCCGAAAGGAGUAAGACCCCUUAGAGACUAUGAGGUUGAUAGGUUGGAGCUGUAAGUGUAGUAAUACAUUCAGGUGACCAAUACUAACGGUUCGAGGGUUUGACCUA
rnacentral:rRNA from 1 species